GAACAUGUCUGUUUGAUUGACAUGUCGUCAUUCACCAAAACAGAGGUCAAGUCAAAGGGACCAGAGGCACUGGAGUUUUUGCAGUACUUGAGCUCUAACAACAUUGAACAGCCGAUUGGUACAAUUAUCCACACUGGAAUGCAGAAUGAGUUUGGAGGAUAUGAAAAUGACUGUACUAUUGUUCCAAUGGAAAAUAACACUUUUUUUAUGAUCUCGCCAACAUCACAACAGACAAGGUCGUUGAACUGGUUAAGAAAACACCGCCCACUAGAUGGCUCUGUAGAGAUCCGUGAUGUCACUUCCGCUUAUGCAGGGAUCAAUGUGAUUGGUCCGCACGCUCCUCAACUGCUGUAUGAUGUGUCUGGAAUCAAUACAUCAAGGCAGGAAUUCAAACAAAUGACCUGUAAGGUAAUUGAUGUUGGGUUUGCCAGUAAUAUAAUUGCCAUGAGGCUGACUCACUCAGGGGAAGAUGGCUUUGUUCUCUAUGUUCCUUCAGAGUAUGGCCUCCAUGUAUAUGAGACUUUGGUGAAGGCAGGGAAAGAUUAUGGCAUACGCGAUGCAGGGUAUUAUGCUCUUCGGGAAUUGCGAAUUGAGAAAUUUUACGCAUACUGGGGAUCAGACCUGACCACUCACACGACCCCCCUAGAGAGCGGCAGAGAGUUCCGUGUCAACUUUGAGAAGGGAGAAUUCAUAGGCAGGGAUGCUCUUCUGACACAGAGAGAAAAUGGAAUCAGUAAAAGAUUUGCUCAGUUCUUUUUGAAUGACUUUGACUAUGAAACUGAUGUGUGGCCCUGGGGAGGGGAACCAAUUUAUCGUAAUGGCAAAUACUGUGGCACCAUCACAUCUACAGGUUAUGCGCACACUCUCGAGAGAAUGACGUGUUUGGGAUUUGUGACAGACACAGACAGCCAAGGAAAUAAAGUCCUACACAAAGCUAUGCAUGAAUUUAUCCUUGACAAAUCCGCCAAAUAUGAGAUAGCCAUUGCUGGGAAGAAGUUUCCCGCUGAGGUCAACUUGUACACUAAACCUACAGUGUAUCAGAAUGGGGAACCAGUUUUCAUUCCUGCACCUAAAAGAUAAAUACAUGUUUAUGUAUAGCUAUGGACCUUGGUAUUACUGUAUACAAAGUAACAAUUUUGCGCAGAUUUAUUCCAGAAACUUUUACCUCAGCUUAUACCAUACUGAAGACUUUUAGCUGAUUGUUUGUGAUAGAUCAGAGAUUGAUCCCUUCUGCUUUUUAUGUGAGUUUAUCAUUAACUGCUCUUUGUUUUAGCUGUUGAACUGUAUACUCUUUGUUAAUCACUGCAUUAUACAACUGAAUUCCUGUGUUUGUACCGGUACAUUUAUGAGUAAUAAUGCAAUCUAAUUUUAUGAUUGUCUUUUUUUUUUGAUUAAAUCACUUAUUAACAU
rnacentral:misc_RNA from 1 species